rnacentral:rRNA from 1 species
AUUGAACGCUGGAGGCAGGCUUACCACAUGCAAGUCGAGCGAGCGGCGGACGGGUGAGUAAUGUCUGGGACACUGCCUGAUGGAGGGGGAUAACUACUGGAAACGGUAGCUAAUACCGCAUACCAUCAGAUGUGCCCAGAUGGGAUGAGCUAGUAGGUGGGGUAAUGGCUCACCUAGUGGCCGAGCCCUAGCUGGUUUGAGAGGAUGACCAGCCACCCUGGAACUUCGACACGGUCCAGACUCCUCCGGUAGACAGCAGUGGGGCAUAUUGCACUAAGGGCGCAAGGCUGAUGCAGUCAGGCCGCGUGUGGGAAGAAGGCCUUCGGGUUGUAAAGCACUUGCAGGGAGGAGGCGUUACUGGCAGAAGAAGCACCUGUUAACUCCGUGCCAGCAGCCGCGGUAAUAC